rnacentral:rRNA from 1 species
UACGGAGGGUGCAAGCGUUGUCCGGAAUCACUGGGCGUAAAGGGCGCGUAGGCGGCUCAUGAAGGCUGUGGUGAAAGUCCGGGGCUCAACCUCGGAUCGGCCGUGGCGACUCGUGGGCUGGAGCACUGUAGAGGCGGGUGGAAUCCGGGUGUAGCGGUGGAAUGCGCAGAUAUCAGGAGGAACACCGAUGGCGAAGGCAGAUCUCUGGGCCGUAACUGACGCUGAGGAGCGAAAGCAUGGGGAGCGAACAGG